CGAACACAGGGAUGGUUCUCCAGCUGGUCCUAAGCGCCGAACAUGCGGUCAUACAGCGAAGUUCCGUGUAGUAGUCAUGAGUAAGGCUGUAUUCAGCCGGGUUUGGUUUGGAAGUGGAGCGCUGCUGUUCGUCGGUCGUGGACUACGAUGGGGUCGUACCGAUAAUUAUGCAGAGAUGACUCUAGGCUUGUGAUGAGAAGUGUUGCAUUUUUCACGCUUAGAGGUUUCAUUUGAGGUCCUGUCAGCAGUCUUGAGCGCUGCGUAAUAUGGCCUCCCAGAACCUUGAGAUUUUUAGACAUGUCUUGUGGACGUCUGUUACUGGAGGAUGGUUUUAUGAUCCACAUCAAAAUGUCAUCAUCAAUACUAUUCAGCUUUACUUCUGGAUUUUACUUCUUUGUGCUCCAUUUCUUAUCACCAUGUACUCAUCGCGAUCAACGACGAUUUGGGCCAUGUACUGCACGUCCACAUUCAUCGUCUUUGCCGCCAUCAAAUUCGUCAAUUACCAACUGCACAAAAUGUACGAUACAUCGGAGUAUGUCGAAGAAAAAUCUGAACCGGAUGUUUCUUCAGAAAAGGGCGGAAACAGCCGCGCGGCGGACAGCAUCGAGC